AGCGUACACGGUGGAUGCCCUGGCAGUCAGAGGCGAUGAAGGACGUGCUAAUCUGCGAUAAGCGUCGGUAAGGUGAUAUGAACCGUUAUAACCGGCGAUUUCCGAAUGGGGAAACCCAGUGUGUUUCGACACACUAUCAUUAACUGAAUCCAUAGGUUAAUGAGGCGAACCGGGGGAACUGAAACAUCUAAGUACCCCGAGGAAAAGAAAUCAACCGAGAUUCCCCCAGUAGCGGCGAGCGAACGGGGAGCAGCCCAGAGCCUGAAUCAGUGUGUGUGUUAGUGGAAGCGUCUGGAAAGGCGCGCGAUACAGGGUGACAGCCCCGUACACAAAAAUGCACAUGCUGUGAGCUCGAUGAGUAGGGCGGGACACGUGGUAUCCUGUCUGAAUAUGGGGGGACCAUCCUCCAAGGCUAAAUACUCCUGACUGACCGAUAGUGAACCAGUACCGUGAGGGAAAGGCGAAAAGAACCCCGGCGAGGGGAGUGAAAAAGAACCUGAAACCGUGUACGUACAAGCAGUGGGAGCACGCUUCGGCGUGUGACUGCGUACCUUUUGUAUAAUGGGUCAGCGACUUAUAUUCUGUAGCAAGGUUAACCGAAUAGGGGAGCCGAAGGGAAACCGAGUCUUAACUGGGCGUUAAGUUGCAGGGUAUAGACCCGAAACCCGGUGAUCUAGCCAUGGGCAGGUUGAAGGUUGGGUAACACUAACUGGAGGACCGAACCGACUAAUGUUGAAAAAUUAGCGGAUGACUUGUGGCUGGGGGUGAAAGGCCAAUCAAACCGGGAGAUAGCUGGUUCUCCCCGAAAGCUAUUUAGGUAGCGCCUCGUGAAUUCAUCUCCGGGGGUAGAGCACUGUUUCGGCAAGGGGGUCAUCCCGACUUACCAACCCGAUGCAAACUGCGAAUACCGGAGAAUGUUAUCACGGGAGACACACGGCGGGUGCUAACGUCCGUCGUGAAGAGGGAAACAACCCAGACCGCCAGCUAAGGUCCCAAAGUCAUGGUUAAGUGGGAAACGAUGUGGGAAGGCCCAGACAGCCAGGAUGUUGGCUUAGAAGCAGCCAUCAUUUAAAGAAAGCGUAAUAGCUCACUGGUCGAGUCGGCCUGCGCGGAAGAUGUAACGGGGCUAAACCAUGCACCGAAGCUGCGGCAGCGACGCUGAUGCGUUGUUGGGUAGGGGAGCGUUCUGUAAGCCUGCGAAGGUGUGCUGUGAGGCAUGCUGGAGGUAUCAGAAGUGCGAAUGCUGACAUAAGUAACGAUAAAGCGGGUGAAAAGCCCGCUCGCCGGAAGACCAAGGGUUCCUGUCCAACGUUAAUCGGGGCAGGGUGAGUCGACCCCUAAGGCGAGGCCGAAAGGCGUAGUCGAUGGGAAACAGGUUAAUAUUCCUGUACUUGGUGUUACUGCGAAGGGGGGACGGAGAAGGCUAUGUUGGCCGGGCGACGGUUGUCCCGGUUUAAGCGUGUAGGCUGGUUUUCCAGGCAAAUCCGGAAAAUCAAGGCUGAGGCGUGAUGACGAGGCACUACGGUGCUGAAGCAACAAAUGCCCUGCUUCCAGGAAAAGCCUCUAAGCAUCAGGUAACAUCAAAUCGUACCCCAAACCGACACAGGUGGUCAGGUAGAGAAUACCAAGGCGCUUGAGAGAACUCGGGUGAAGGAACUAGGCAAAAUGGUGCCGUAACUUCGGGAGAAGGCACGCUGAUAUGUAGGUGAAGUCCCUUGCGGAUGGAGCUGAAAUCAGUCGAAGAUACCAGCUGGCUGCAACUGUUUAUUAAAAACACAGCACUGUGCAAACACGAAAGUGGACGUAUACGGUGUGACGCCUGCCCGGUGCCGGAAGGUUAAUUGAUGGGGUCAGCGCAAGCGAAGCUCUUGAUCGAAGCCCCGGUAAACGGCGGCCGUAACUAUAACGGUCCUAAGGUAGCGAAAUUCCUUGUCGGGUAAGUUCCGACCUGCACGAAUGGCGUAAUGAUGGCCAGGCUGUCUCCACCCGAGACUCAGUGAAAUUGAACUCGCUGUGAAGAUGCAGUGUACCCGCGGCAAGACGGAAAGACCCCGUGAACCUUUACUAUAGCUUGACACUGAACAUUGAGCCUUGAUGUGUAGGAUAGGUGGGAGGCUUGGAAGUGUGGACGCCAGUCUGCAUGGAGCCGACCUUGAAAUACCACCCUUUAAUGUUUGAUGUUCUAACGUUGACCCGUAAUCCGGGUUGCGGACAGUGUCUGGUGGGUAGUUUGACUGGGGCGGUCUCCUCCUAAAGAGUAACGGAGGAGCACGAAGGUUGGCUAAUCCUGGUCGGACAUCAGGAGGUUAGUGCAAUGGCAUAAGCCAGCUUGACUGCGAGCGUGACGGCGCGAGCAGGUGCGAAAGCAGGUCAUAGUGAUCCGGUGGUUCUGAAUGGAAGGGCCAUCGCUCAACGGAUAAAAGGUACUCCGGGGAUAACAGGCUGAUACCGCCCAAGAGUUCAUAUCGACGGCGGUGUUUGGCACCUCGAUGUCGGCUCAUCACAUCCUGGGGCUGAAGUAGGUCCCAAGGGUAUGGCUGUUCGCCAUUUAAAGUGGUACGCGAGCUGGGUUUAGAACGUCGUGAGACAGUUCGGUCCCUAUCUGCCGUGGGCGCUGGAGAACUGAGGGGGGCUGCUCCUAGUACGAGAGGACCGGAGUGGACGCAUCACUGGUGUUCGGGUUGUCAUGCCAAUGGCACUGCCCGGUAGCUAAAUGCGGAAGAGAUAAGUGCUGAAAGCAUCUAAGCACGAAACUUGCCCCGAGAUGAGUUCU
rnacentral:rRNA from 1 species